rnacentral:sRNA from 1 species
CUGAGGACAUAUGAAGUGAAUGUGCGGGUCGAUGCCGCCGGGAGUCAGUAUCAUGCCUUCUCCGGCAAUCACUUCGGUGCCGGCGGCCACGGUCAUCCACGGUGUCACUCCAUCCAUGAUGUCGGGGUUGCCCGCCUUGCCGAUGGCGGCGAUCCGUCCGUCGCGGAUACCCACGUCGGCUUUAACGAUACCCCAAUGAUCCAAUAUCACGGCGUUGGUGACCACGGUAUCUAGGGUCUGGUCGGACCUAGUGGCCCAGGAAGACUGGCCCAUGCCGUCGCGC